GAUGAAGAACGUAGCGAAAUGCGAUAAGUAAUGUGAAUUGCAGAAUUCAGUGAAUCAUCGAAUCUUUGAACGCAUCUUGCGCUCCUUGGUAUUCUGAGGAGCAUGCCUGUUUGAGUGUCAUUAAAUUCCCAACUACACUGACUUUGAAUUGGUGUGGCUUGGAUUUGGGGGGAAAAUUGUUGUGGGCUUUUUGUAUAGUCUGCUCCCCUGAAAUUGAUUAGCGGUACCUUUGUGGAACUGUCUACAGGUGUGAUAAUUAUCUACAUCUUAGACAUCUGCUGGAAUGCUGCUUUCUAAACCUUACUUGUAUUGACAAUCUUGACCUCAAAUCAGGUAGGACUACCCGCUGAACUUAAGCAUAUCAAUAAGCGGAGGA
rnacentral:misc_RNA from 1 species